CUAGGCUUAGUUUUUGUUAAGACUGAGGAAGAGUGCAAAAAGAUAUUUGCAGAAGGUUUAGAUUAUAGAUUUUUAAAAGUUUAUGCUGAAGCUGUAACAAUGACUCCAAAUUGUGGACAAACUGCAAUUGAAAAUGAGAAUCAAUAUCAUAAUGAUAGUGCAGAUGAACCAUUGACUAUAGUUGCAUUUGAAAAUGCAAAUCAAAAUGAAACUGAACUU
rnacentral:lncRNA from 1 species